GAAUGCGCGUGGCAAUAACAAAUUAUUAUUGUCCGGUCUGCCGUCGCACACUUGGCUAGCUUCUUGUUUAACUCACCCACAUAAUUGACUCCUUUUAGAGAAUUUCGCGUUCAAAAGGCGAUCGCCGUGCCGGUUUGCGUCUGAAAAGUCUGCAAGAGGGCCUAUUAAACAACUGCAGCGACUCGGCCGGUUAAACUCACAAUCAGACUUAUAGUUGGCCGUUGAACGCCACCCCGACAAUUCGGCCGAAAACGCUGCCAAUCUCAUUAAUAUUGAUGAGAUAGGACGU